UACGUAGGGGGCGAGCGUUGUCCGGAUUUAUUGGGCGUAAAGAGCGUGUAGGCGGCUUGGUAAGUCCGCUGUGAAAGUCCAGGGCUCAACCCUGGAAUGCCGGUGGAAACUGUCAAGCUUGAGUCCGGAAGAGGCGAGUGGAAUUCCUGGUGUAGCGGUGAAAUGCGCAGAUAUCAGGAGGAACACCAAUGGCGAAGGCAGCUCGCUGGGACGGUACUGACGCUGAGACGCGAAAGCGUGGGGAGCAAACAGG
rnacentral:rRNA from 1 species